GACGAACGCUGGCGGCGUGCUUAACACAUGCAAGUCGAACGGAAAGGCCCUGCUUUUGUGGGGUGCUCGAGUGGCGAACGGGUGAGUCACACGUGAGUACCCUGCCCUUGACUUUGGUAUAACUUCAGGAAACUGGGGCUAAUACCGGAUAGGAGCUCCUUCUGCAUGGUGGGGGUUGGAUAUUUUCGGCGGUUGGGGAUUGACUCGCGGCUUAUCUGCUUGUUGGUGGGGUAGUGGCUUACCAAGGCUUUGACGGGUAGCCGGCCUGAGAGGGUGACCGGCCACAUGGGGACUGAGAUACGGCCCAGACUCCUACGGGAGGAAGCAGUGGGGAAUAUUGCACAAUGGGCGGAAGCCUAAUGCAGCAACGCCGCGUGCGGGAUGACGGCCUUCGGGUUGUAAACCGCUUUCGCCUGUGACGAAGCGUGAGUGACGGUAAUGGGUAAAGAAGCACCGGCUAACUACGUG
rnacentral:rRNA from 1 species